rnacentral:rRNA from 1 species
GAUGGAUCUAAGCCAUGGCGAGUCAUUGUAGUAAUACAAGGCAGAACGGCUCAGUAACGCGUAGUCAACCUAACCUCUGGACGGGAAUAACCUCGGGAAACUGAGUAUAAUAGCCCGAUAGAACAUUAUGCCUGGAAUGGUUUAUGUUCCAAAUGAUUUAUCGCCGUAGGAUGGGACUGCGGCCUAUCAGUUUGUUGGUGAGGUAAUGGCCCACCAAGACUAUUACAGGUACGGGCUCUGAGAGGAGUAGCCCGGAGAUGGGUACUGAGACACGGACCCAGGCCCUAUGGGGCGCAGCAGGCGAGAAAACUUUGCAAUGUGCGAAAGCACGACAAGGUUAAUCCGAGUGGUUUCUGCUAAAGGAACCUUUUGUCGGUCCUAGAAACACCGAUGAAUAAGGGGUGGGCAAGUUCUGGUGUCAGCCGCCGCGGUAAAACCAGCACCUCAAGUGGUCAGGAUGAUUAUUGGGCCUAAAGCAUCCGUAGCCGGCUUUGUUAGUUUUCGGUUAAAUCUGUACGCUCAACGUACAGGCUGCCGGGAAUACUGCAGAGCUAGGGAGUGGGAGAGGUAGACGGUACUCGGUAGGAAGGGGUAAAAUCCUUUGAUCUAUUGAUGACCACCUGUGGCGAAGGCGUCUAACAGAACCCGUCCGACGGUGAGGGAUGAAAACCGGGGGAACAAACCGAUUAAAUACCGGUAACCCAGUGUAACUAUGCAACUCAUGAGCUUGGUGGGCCAGGAAUGUGCAGGAACCUUAAUUUGCCCCUGG